rnacentral:rRNA from 1 species
AACGAACGCUGGCGGCAGGCCUAACACAUGCAAGUCGAACGAGACCUUCGGGUCUAGUGGCGCAUGGGUGCGUAACGCGUGGGAACCUGCCCUUAUGUUCGGAAUAACACCCCGAAGGGGGUGCUAAUACCGGGUAAUGUCUUCGGACCAAAGAUUCAUCGCCUUUGGAUGGGCCCGCGAUGGAUUAGCUAGUUGGUAGGGUAAAAGCCUACCAAGGCGACGAUACAUAGCUGGUCUGAGAGCAUGAUCAGCCACACUGGGACUGAGACACGGCCCAGACUACUACAGGAGGCAGCAAUGGGGAAUAUUGGCAUAUGGGCGAGAGCCUGAUGCAGCAAGGCCGGGUGAGUGAUGAAGGCCUUAAAGUUGUAAAGCUCUUUAACCCGGGAUGAUAAUGACGGUACCGGAAGAAUAAGCUCCGGCUAACUCCGUG